CUCUCUCUCUCUACCUCUCUCUACCUCUCUCUCUCUACCUCUCUCUCUCUCUCUACCUCUUCAUCCUCCUCUCCCUUCACCCCUCUCUCCCGGUCCCAUUCCUCUCUCCCUAUUCUGACCUAAUCACAGAUCAUUAGUUGCCAUGACAUUGUGAUUGUUUUUAUAUUAAAUGACUGCUAUCAUAGUUAUAUCAGAUUGUUAUCAGCUGGAUGGUGAAGCCACUAUUUUAUGGACCACAUAUUGAUUGCGACCCAAAUGCCACCCUGUUUUCUAUAUAGUGUACUUGUUUGUCACAUGUUCUCUCACCAGAAGAGUGGUUAGGUCCCAAAUGAGACCCUAUUCCUUAUAUAGUGCACUACUGUUGACCAGAGCCCUAUUCCCUAUAUAGUGCACUUCUUUAGACCAGAGCCCUAUUCCCUAUAUAGUGCACUACUGUUGACCAGAGCCCUAUUCUCUAUAUAUAGUACACUACUUUUGACCAGAGCCCUAUUCCCUAUAUAGUACACUGCUUUAGACCAGAGCCCUAUUCUCUAUAUAUAGUACACUACUUUUGACCAGAGCCCUAUUCCCUAUAUAGUACACUACUUUAGACCAGAGCCCUAUUCCCUAUAUAGUACACUGCUUUAGACCAGAGCCCUAUUCUCUAUAUAUAGUACACUACUGUUGACUAGGGCCCUAUUCCCUAUAUAGUACACUACUGUUGACCAGAGCCCUAUGGGGAAUAGGGGGCCAAUUGGGACGCAGUCUGUAUGUGAAACUGGUCAGUUUUUAAAUGUAUGUUUCUGGGGUUCUUAUUGGUAGUCUGAUUCUCUGAUCAUGUCUGUGGUUGUUAUGGUUACCGUCUGGUCCAGUUCAUACAGACUGUUUUGGUUGUUGUUUCUUUGUUCUGUCCGCUGUUUAUCUCUCUCUCGUUUUGUGGUUUAACUGUCUGUGGUCAGGUUCUGACCAAUCAGAUGGCUCUGUGGUCAGGUUCUGACCAAUCAGAUGGCUCUGUGGUCAGGUUCUGGCCAAUCAGAUGGCUCUGUGGUCAGGUUCUGACCAAUCAGAUGCCUCUGUGGUCAGGUUCUGACCAAUCAGAUGGCUCUGUGGUCAGGUUCUGGCCAAUCAGAUGGCUCUGUGGUCAGGUUCUGGCCAAUCAGAUGGCUCUGUGGUCAGGUUCUGGCCAAUCAGAUGGCUCUGUGGUCAGGUUCUGGCCAAUCAGAUGGCUCUGUGGUCAGGUUCUGGCCAAUCAGAUGCCUCUGUGGUGGUGUUGUGACUACUGCUGUCUCAGUACUCCUGGAGGACCCCUGGUGUUUCUGAUAGAUUAACUUCCGUCCAGCCCGGGAUUCAAUCAAAGGCGCAUUGUGGAUUAUUAGCACACCAAAUUAGACUGUUCAAUCUAAUGUAGACUUCAGCUGACAUCCGCAGCGUUUACCAUGAAUACCAUCUCCACGAAGGUCAGAGAAAUGACCUGCUUAAAGGUGCAUUGUGGACAGUGCGCCUUUGGUUGAAUCCCAGCCACGGUCUCAUUCAGACCUGGGACACCAAAUCAUGUAUCAAAUACAUGUCCCAAAAUGGCACCCUAUUCCCUACAUAGUGCACUCCUUUUGACCAGAAUAGCACCCUAUUCCCGAUAUAGUGCACUACAUUUGACCAGAGCCCUAAAAGUAGUCACAGUAUAGGAAAUAGGGAGCAAUUUUGGACAUCAUCAGUGCUUCAAUCCCAAAUGGCUCACUAUGUAGUCUACUACCUUUGACCAGAGGCCAUAGGGGAAUAGGAGGCCAUAGGGGAAUAGGAGGCCAUAGGGGAAUAGGAGGCCAUAGGGGAAUAGGAGGCCAUAGGGGAAUAGGAAGCAUUUGGGAGGCCAUAGGGGAAUAGGAGGCCAUAGGGGAAUAGGAGGCAUUUGGGAGGCCAUAGGGGAAUAGGAGGCCAUAGGGGAAUAGGAGGCCAUUCAGUGUCUGUCAGCCCUCCAGGUCUAGUUUGACCUUACAUCUCCCUGGUUAAAUGGAACUGGAUUCGUCACUCACUGCUUCUCAAUGUUUUAUGGAGUGUAUGUAUAUUAUUAUAUGAUCACAUUUUAAAACAACUGAUGUGUUGACCUCUAAGUACCCUGUGAACUGUUUGUGUUGAGAAAAAAAUUAAAAUAAAUAGAUUUAUGUAAAAUUUGAUGUUUUGUUGUGUGUUUUUUUUUAACAGACCAAAGUUGACACAGUGUUGUUUUAAAUCAUUUAUAUCAUCUGAAUAGAAAAUGUGAUAACUCUCCAGAAAAACUACUUUCACAGACACCUAGACGGUUGAGAAUAAAGUUGUCUGAACACAGAACAUGUUAACGGUAAACUCUGCAGGUCAACAUUUUGACACAUCUGAACAAACAACCAGUAGAAGCACAUCACACACCUUGUCUACGUCCCAAAUAGCAUCCUAUUCCCUAUAUCGUGCC
rnacentral:lncRNA from 1 species